UACAGAGGUCCCAAGCGUUGUUCGGAUUCAUUGGGCGUAAAGGGUGCGUAGGCGGCGCGGUAAGUCGGGUGUGAAAUCUCGGAGCUUAACUCCGAAACUGCAUUCGAUACUGCCGUGCUUGAGGACUGGAGAGGAGACUGGAAUUUACGGUGUAGCGGUGAAAUGCGUAGAUAUCGUAAGGAAGACCAGUGGCGAAGGCGGGCCUCGUGGACAGUUCCUGACGCUGAGGCACGAAGGCCAGGGGAGCAAACGGG
rnacentral:rRNA from 1 species